UCUAUAACCAACUUUUUCCCAAAAUCUCCUCUAGAACUCCAAGGAAGAAGAAGAACAAUGAAGCUAGGGGGUGAAGAAUCAAGAUUUUUUCCUCAAAUUGGUGGUUAAUCUUCUAUAAGGUUCCAGUUCUUAAGGUGAUCUUCUAUUGGUUCAAGCUUAGAUUGACUAUUCUCCUAGCUUGUGGUGAGUCCUCAAGAUUCGAGGACGUAUGAAUCAUUAGUAGUUUCUUUCUAGUUAUUUUAUGGUUUGAAUUAUGUGAAAGGAUUGUGCCUCUAUUUUUUGUUCAAGAAUUGUAUUAGAUGGCUAUUUGAGACAAGUUAGACUUUCGCUUUCUUUUAUAAAAGACUUCGAUUGUAUGGA